AUUAAUUUACUUCCGCAUUUUCCUCACUUCCCUUUAGGAGGCUUAGCACGGGUAAGGACGGAUCUAGGUCAGACGCUGGAACGGAAGCCUUUUCAUUACAGCUACGAUCCGGCGUGCAUUUUGUUUGAGACAUAUUCGCAGCGAACGAGAAGUUAAUUCAACAGAAGAUUUACUUCUAGAAACACAAUGAAGAGAAAGACAUCACUCGAACCAUCCACUUCAGAGAAAAGUGUCAAGCUGGUGAGGUCAGACUCACCUGCAUCCAGCUAUGUGUCUCUAAAGACAUUGGAUCCACCAGCAAACUUCAAAGAAGAAUUUGGACUUCAUUUAAGUGGGACUUUCCUUAUGUUUUAGCGUCUUUGUCCACCCCAAGUCAGUUUGCGGAUGUAAGUCCACUCCAGUUGCAAUAUUGUAUUUGUGAUUGAAGGUAUGUACUGUGAGGGUUAAAGACGUCAUGAAAGCCAAGGAUAUGCCUGAUUUUGUGAGAUCGCUACAGUAUGGAGUUCCUGAGGCCAUCAGAGAGUGAAGUUGACAUGAUCUCAGCUGUCUUUGGGAAGUUAGCUCACUAGUGUAAGAUCAAAACUCCAUGAUGAUGGAUCAUUUUUGGAAGUAUAAGUUUGACCCAGAGAGAAAUUGAAUAUAUAUGAGAAUCACCUGAAACAUCCAAUCAUCCUAUUU